AAGUCGUAACAAGGUUUCCGUAGGUGAACCUGCGGAAGGAUCAUUCAAGUACACCUGGGUUGGCGUAAGCCUUCCCAUUUAAUGUGAAGACCCGCGACUUCUUCCCGGCAUUCCGGGGGCCUAGCCCUUCGACUGGCCGGGGUUUUUAAUGAAGAAAGCAUGGUAUCUCAAAAGCAACAAAUACAACUUUUAGCGAUGGAUCUCUUGGCUCCCACACCGAUGAAGAACG
rnacentral:misc_RNA from 1 species